AACGCACCUUGCGCUCCUUGGUAUUCCGAGGAGCAUGCCUGUUUGAGUGUCAUUAAUUUCUCAACCUCACCUGGUUUUCCAACCUGUGUGAUGGCUUGGACUUGGGAGUUUUGCAGGCAGCAGUCUACUGCGGUUCUGCUCUCCUUAAAUGUAUUAGCAGGUCUUUUACCUCUAUCCCAACGGUGUGAUAAUCUAUCUACGCUGCUGGUUUGGAGACCCUUCACUGGGGGACUGGCUUCUAACUGUCCGCAAGGACAAUAUGAUCAAUCUUGACCUCAAAUCAGGUAGGACUACCCGCUGAACUUAA
rnacentral:misc_RNA from 1 species